GACAGAGGGUGCAAACGUUGUUCGGAAUUACUGGGCGUAAAGCGUGUGUAGGCGGCUACAUAAGUCGGAUGUGAAAGCCCCGGGCUCAACCCGGGAAGUGCACUCGAUACUGCGUAGCUUGAGUCUCGGAGAGGUUGGUGGAAUUCCUGGUGUAGCGGUGAAAUGCGCAGAUAUCAGGAAGAACACCCGUGGCUAAGGCGGCUCUCUAGUACGGUACUGACGCUGAGACGCGAAAGCGUGGGGAGCGAACAGG
rnacentral:rRNA from 1 species